rnacentral:rRNA from 1 species
GAUGAACGCUGGCGGCGUGCUUAACACAUGCAAGUCGAACGAAGCACUUUAUUUGAUUUCCUUCGGGACUGAUUAUUUUGUGACUGAGUGGCGGACGGGUGAGUAACGCGUGGGUAACCUGCCUUGUACAGGGGGAUAACAGUUGGAAACGGCUGCUAAUACCGCAUAAGCGCACAGCAUCGCAUGAUGCAGUGUGAAAAACUCCGGUGGUAUAAGAUGGACCCGCGUUGGAUUAGCUAGUUGGUGAGGUAACGGCCCACCAAGGCGACGAUCCAUAGCCGGACCUGGGAGGGGGACCGGCCAAUUGGGAACUGAGACAGGCCCAAAACGCAUACGGGAGGAAGAAGGGGGAAUAUUGCACAAUGGGCGAAAGCCUGAUGCAGCGACGCCGCGUGAGCGAAGAAGUAUUUCGGUAUGUAAAGCUCUAUCAGCAGGGAAGAUAAUGACGGUACCUGACUAAGAAGCACCGGCUAAAUACGUG